rnacentral:rRNA from 1 species
UGGGGAAUAUUGGACAAUGGGCGAAAUCCUGAUCCAGCCAUGCCGCGUGUGUGAAGAAGGUCUUCGGAUUGUAAAGCACUUUAAGUUGGGAGGAAGGGCAGUAAGCGAAUACCUUGCUGUUUUGACGUUACCGACAGAAUAAGCACCGGCUAACUCUGUGCCAGCAGCCGCGGUAAUACAGAGGGUGCAAGCGUUAAUCGGAAUUACUGGGCGUAAAGCGCGCGUAGGUGGUUCGUUAAGUUGAAUGUGAAAGCCCCGGGCUCAACCUGGGAACUGCAGCCAAAACUGGCGAGCUAGAGUAGGGCAGAGGGUGGUGGAAUUUCCUGUGUAGCGGUGAAAUGCGUAGAUAUAGGAAGGAACACCAGUGGCGAAGGCGACCACCUGGGCUCAUACUGACACUGAGGUGCGAAAGCGUGGGGAGCAAACAGG